rnacentral:rRNA from 1 species
UACGUAGGAGACGAGCGUUGUCCGGAGUUACUGGGCGUAAAGGGUGCGCAGGCGGCCUGGCGCGUCGCGAGUGAAAUCUCCCGGCUCAACUGGGAGGGUGCGCCGAAUACUGAGUGACUCGAGUGCGGGAGAGGAAAGUGGAAUUCCUGGUGUAGCGGUGAAAUGCGUAGAUAUCAGGAGGAACACCGGUGGUGUAGACGGCUUUCUGGACCGUAACUGACGCUGAAACACGAAAGCGUGGGUAGCAAACAGG